CAGUCCGGGAUCGUGGGAGGCAUUGGGGGCUGCAUCAAGAAACCCAAAGGCUUCGGAGUGCAGAGGGCUGAGGCCGUCAGGAUUUGAUCAUCCCUGGAGAGCCGCCCUGGGAGCCUGGGAAUGACCCUGGAACAAUCGAUAAUUGAUAAUCAAUGAUUGGUAAUCAAUAAUCAAUUAUCAAUAAUCAAUAAACCCUUCAGCAAAGCAA